AACUUUUUUAUUUAUUAUUUAACAAAACGUUUGACAGCCAUGAGUUCACAUUUCUUAAUGUUAAGAUAUAGACCAGACGCUUUGGAAAAGGAUUGUAUCACAUUGAUCGAUAUGGGAAUUUGGUUAGCAUCUUUCAGAAUAAGUGUAGUAUUGUCAGCCAGCUGGCUUAUAAUAUUUUCUUUACCAGCUAUGGAAAUACCUUGUACAGGACUAUUAUUUAAAGAAUUUGUAAGAAGUUGGGUGAUUAAUAAAAACAAGUACGGAGAGAUAGGAAAACCUUGCCUAAUUCCUCUCUUUAACUCAAAUCUAGGUGAGGUGCCAUAUUUCAAUUUGAUAGAGCUGUUACCAUUUGCAUAGAGAGUCUUAAUAGCCUUACAGAAAAAAUCCUCAAAGCCAAGUCUCUCAAGGGGGUGGAAGAGGAACUGAUGCUCUACUGUGUCAAAAGCUUUAUAAAAAAAAUAAAUAAUAUGAAGCUAUCCUUAGUUAUUCGGUCUGAGUAGUCAAGUAUGUCUAAUACUAGUCUGACAUUGUUAGACAUAUGUCUGUUCCUCAUAAAGCCAGACUGUGUUUCAUCAAUGAUCAGGCUCUGGUCUAACUGUUAUAAAGAUCUUUGACGUAGGGCCGUAUUCUGACUUUAGAUCCGUGUGGUUAACUCAAGUUUGUGUGCAAAUCUGACGUCAAUAAAUUACUUUUGACUUUUACAAUGUCUUUCGUUGUAGCAUAAUCAUUUAACUUAUAACUAUUAGAGCUUCUAAUUAUGUUAAUAAAAAAUGUAGACCUCUUAAAGAUGCACUAUGCAGAAAUCGCUCUGCCAUUUCCUGGUUGCUAAAAUUCAAAUAUUCAGUUUAUGUGACAAAACAAGCAAGUAUAGCGUAGAUAAUCAUUGUACCAUCUAAAUCGCUGUGAAAUAUAUUUACCUUAACCAAAAAUAUUGUAUUUUAAGCUUUUUGAAGCUGGUGUACAAAACUGAAAGUAAAAGCGAAAACAAAACUUAAGAACAGGAAGCAUAGAAAUAACGCACAUCUACUGCUUCUUAGACUUGCUUUCAAUGAAAAUGACAGAUCUUUAACACACAUUUCUAUAUGCAUUUUGUCAGGUUGCACAAAAAAGUUACUUAUUGCAGCUUUAAGGAAUCUUACUUCUUUAUUUCUAUUUUGUCUUACAUCUCCACCUACUUGUCAGUACUUGCACUGCACAUAUACAGUUGCAAACACUGAUUCACAUGGAGUAUAACAUGGCUCUACAGUCCUCAAUUAAUCAAAUUUCACUGUAGGUCUGGGGUUGAGGCGCCCAAGUAAGUGUGCAGGUCUGCAACAUUUGAUUUGAAGAUCUUUGCUGGAAUGGUUUUCAUUUUCAACCAUUUGUAUGCCUCAAACCGGUGACAGCCUCCAAAGUAGUAGUAAUUUCCUCCUUCACUUCCCUUGAUCCAGAGUAUAUCAAUGAGAGGAAGAGUGCUGAUGCCUGUAGAUUCCUAUGAGGAAAAAUACUGUAUUUGUUAAGUUUUUCUAUUCUAUUUCAGAGGUCAUUUAUCACACAGAACAGGGAAAUACACGUUUGAUACAUUCAAUAAACAUGGAAAAAAUGUGUCAUUCACACUAUGGUUUAUCAGUCUAAUAUAGUAGCCUAGUUUCUCAAUUAAGAAGAUAAUCUUCACUAUUUUCUUGCCGCGGGUCUGUAUUUAUACCACCACCACUUAACAAUCAACUCUCUUAUGGUUUGAUCUAUGCAGAACUAGGCCACAUUUUUACCGGUAUUGUACCCAUAAGGCUCUGAACUUUGCUCUCGUCUAGUACAGGAGGGAUUGGUCGUAUGAUAACUUCAAUUGGCACGUUAUUAACUUCGACGUUGUCCGUUGUUUUUAUUAAUGUCCAUUACAUUAGGCUAUGAGAGAUGCUCAAUUGUUAGGUAAAAAUGUGUGGUUUCCAUUGCUCCCAUUCUUCAAGAUCGAAACGUUUAGUUAGUGCAGAGAUAUUAGAAAAAUGAGGAGAUAGGAAUCCCAUCGUGCAGGGACGUAUAACGCCUCACCCAGCAGACUGCCGAAAAAUCGCAUUCACGUUGUCAUGCUGCGUCAUGCGGUUGCUAAGCUAAUCAUCACGCAGUCCCUUCUCAAAGUCGGGGUAUGAGUCAAAUCAAAUGUAUUUAUAUAGCCCUGCUUACAUCAGCUGAUAUCACAAAGUGCUGUACAGAAACCCAGUCUAAAACCCCAAACAGCAAGCAAUGCAGGUGUAGAAGCACGGUGGCUAGGAAAAAUUCCCUAGAAAGGCCAAAACCUAGGAAGAAACCUAGAGAGGAACCAGGCUAUGAGGGGUGGCCAGUCAAGAAACCUGCCUAUUUUCCUCGAAAGUACGUAAUGUCACGAUUCCAAAGCUAUACUAUAUUACAGAGAACAAGUGAAUUAUCUCACAUCUCGGAAACUAUUCGUAAUGUUGUACUUCUUGUUGACUAAAUCCAUGCUAAUGUUGGGUUUUUCAGCUAAUGCUCCUUGAAAGAGUGCGCGCCUUGUCCCAAAAUUACCCAGAAUACACUGCGCGGCCCAUUGACGACGCAUGGGCAACGUAAACAAUGGGCGCUAACACGAGUCCAAUGGAACUUCCCAUCUACUCGAAAGUAACUCUGAUAGGAGUCGUACUGGCUUUAAGCACGGAAGACACUGAAGGACACUACCACCACCACCAAUUCAAGUGUGUAU
rnacentral:lncRNA from 1 species